rnacentral:rRNA from 1 species
CCCGGGAACUGGGGAUAAUACCCUAUAGAUUACAGAUGCUGGAAUGCUCUGUAGUCCAAAGUUCCGGCGCCUCAGGAUGGAUCUGCGGCCGAUUAGGUUGUUGUUGGGGUAAUGGCCCAACAAGCCAGUGAUCGGUACGGGUUGUGGGAGCAAGAGCCCGGAGUUGGAUUCUGAGACACGAAUCCAGGCCCUACGGGGCGCAGCAGGCGCGAAAACUUUACAAUGCGGGCAACCGUGAUAAGGGAACCUCGAGUGCCUGUAUAUGCAGGCUGUCCAGGUGUCUAAAACACACCUGAAGAAAGGGCCGGGCAAGACCGGUGCCAGCCGCCGCGGUAAUACCGGCGGCUCGAGUGGUGGCCACUAUUAUUGGGCUUAAAGCGUCCGUAGCUGGACCGAUAAGUCUCUUGGGAAAUCCGCCGGCUCAACCGGCGAGCGUCUAAGGGAUACUGUUAGUCUAGGGACCGGGAGUGGUGAGAGGUACUCCGGGGGUAGGAGUGAAAUCCUGUAAUCCCCGGGGGACCACCGAUGGCGAAGGCAUCUCACCAGAACGGCUCCGACAGUGAGGGACGAAAGCUGGGGGAGCGAACCGGAUUAGAUACCCGGGUAGUCCCAGCCGUAAACUAUGCGCGUUAGGUGUACUGGUGACCACGAGUCACCGGGGUGCCGAAGGGAAACCGUGAAACGUGCCGCCUGGGAAGUACGGUCGCAAGGCUGAAACUUAAAGGAAUUGGCGGGGGAGCACAA